UACCACUGCAAUUGUGAUAAUUUUAAAGAAUGGAGUAACAAUGCUAUCAUUAAACUAUUGGUGGGGUUGUGCUUCGUUUGGUAGGGUUUGUGGAUUCUUCCUAAAUACAUGCUUUCUGCAACGUUCAAAAAUGCUAUCAUAUAUAAGAUCNNNNNNNNNNNNNCCCUGUUCACAAUGAAGAAAAUAUGAUCUGCUUCCACAGUCUUAUAGUACCAGAUUCCUGGUUGCAGGGGUUGACACUCAGAAUCAUUUGUAAUGUUACAGCUUGGUUGUUCGAUUGGGAUACAAGGGUGGGUCGUGGAUAUGGUGUUAAGUGCUCCAUCAUUCUCCUGCCAGUCCUCAUCCCUGUAUCCUUUGUAAGGUGGGGAGAUAUCUGGAGGAAAACUCCAUUGGCUCAUUUGCAACACUCUUAUAAAGAGCAAUGGAUGGAUUCCAAGGAUGCUUGAAGGAACUGUGACACC
rnacentral:misc_RNA from 1 species